UACAGAGGGUGCGAGCGUUAAUCGGAGUUACUGGGCGUAAAGGGCGCGUAGGCGGUCAAUUAAGUUGGAUGUGAAAUCCCUGGGCUUAACCUAGGAACUGCAUACAAUACUGAAUGACUAGAAUACUGUAGAGGGUAGUGGAAUUUCCGGUGUAGCGGUGAAAUGCGUAGAGAUCGGAAGGAACACCAGUGGCGAAGGCGGCUACCUGGACAGAUAUUGACGCUGAGGCGCGAAAGCGUGGGGAGCAAACAGG
rnacentral:rRNA from 1 species